rnacentral:sRNA from 1 species
GGACUACAGGUGCGUUUGCCACCACACCUAGCUAAUUUUUGUUUUUUGUAGAGGUGGGGUUUCGCCAAGCGGCCCAAGCUGAUCUUGAACUCCUGAGCUCAAUCAAUUCUCCCGCCUCGGCCUCCCAAAGUGUUGGGAUUACAGGCGUGAGCUACUGCACCCAUCCCAAAGAAUAUUUUUGGAACCAGCUUCUCCAUGGGUUCCAGCCAUCCCUGGCAGACGCCUUGGCCAGCAGCCUAAGAACGGUUGCCCCUCAGGAAAGAAACUGACAGCUUUGCGGUUCUGUAUUGAAGGCUGCCCUCCCUACCACCGGAAGUGACUCCCCUCAGCAAGGUCAAGGUGGCUCACGUGUCCCAGCACCCUUUCAUCUCUGCCCUUCUCUCUCGUUGAGUAACAGCAUGGCGUGACAUGAGGGCUCUCUAGCCAUGGCCUUGCAGCCCUCUUGGAACGUGCGCAUCGACCCCAGUAGCCUGUCCUUCAACAUGUGGAAGGAGAUCCCCAUCCCCUUUUAUCUCUCCGUCUACUUCUUUGACGUCAUAAACCCCAAUGAGAUCCUGAAGGGCGAGAAGCCGCAGGUGCGGGAGCGCGGGCCCUACGUGUACAGGGAGUUCAGGCACAAGACCAACAUCACCUUCAACAACAACGACACCGUGUCCUUCCUCGAGUACCGCACCUUCCAGUUCCAGCCCUCCAAGUCCCACGGCUCAGAGAGCGACUACAUCGUCAUGCCUAACAUCCUGGUCUUGGGUGCGGCGGUGAUGAUGGAGGAUAAGCCCAUGACCCUGAAGCUCAUCAUGACCUUGGCAUUCACCACCCUCGGGGAACGCGCCUUCAUGAACCGCACUGUGGGUGAGGUCAUGUGGGGCUACAAGGACCCCCUCGUGAACCUCAUCAACAAGUACUUUCCAGGCAUGUUCCCCUUUAAGGACAAGUUCGGAUUAUUUGCUGAGCUCAACAACUCUGACUCUGGGCUCUUCACGGUGUUCACGGGGGUCCAGAACAUCAGCAGGAUCCACCUCGUGGACAAGUGGAACGGGCUGAGCAAGGUUGACUUCUGGCAUUCCGAUCAGUGCAACAUGAUCAAUGGAACUUCUGGGCAAAUGUGGCCACCCUUCAUGACUCCUGAGUCCUCGCUGGAGUUCUACAGCCCUGAGGCCUGCCGAUCCAUGAAGCUAAUGUACAAGGAGUCAGGGGUGUUUGAAGGCAUCCCCACCUAUCGCUUCGUGGCUCCCAAAACCCUGUUUGCCAACGGGUCCAUCUACCCACCCAACGAAGGCUUCUGCCCGUGCCUGGAGUCUGGAAUUCAGAACGUCAGCACCUGCAGGUUCAGUGCCCCCUUGUUUCUCUCCCAUCCUCACUUCCUCAACGCCGACCCGGUUCUGGCAGAAGCGGUGACUGGCCUGCAUCCUAACCAGGAGGCACACUCCUUGUUCCUGGACAUCCACCCGGUCACGGGAAUCCCCAUGAACUGCUCUGUGAAACUGCAGCUGAGCCUCUACAUGAAAUCUGUCGCAGGCAUUGGACAAACUGGGAAGAUUGAGCCGGUGGUCCUGCCGCUGCUCUGGUUUGCAGAGAGUGGGGCCAUGGAGGGGGAGACUCUUCACACAUUCUACACCCAGCUGGUGUUGAUGCCCAACGUGAUGCACUAUGCCCAGUACGUCCUCCUGGCGCUGGGCUGCGUCCUGCUGCUGGUCCCUGUCAUCUGCCAAAUCCGGAGCCAAGAGAAAUGCUAUUUAUUUUGGAGUAGUAGUAAAAAGGGCUCAAAGGAUAAGGAGGCCAUUCAGGCCUAUUCUGAAUCCCUGAUGACAUCAGCUCCCAAGGGCUCUGUGCUGCAGGAAGCAAAACUGUAG